AAAACUGCAUUCUCCCUGACUACUAGGUCAUGGCAUGAGCGAAGAGGCUUGGGCCUACAGAGGUGUGAUGAUGGUGGGGGACCCUGGCAGCUUCCACAGAGAAACACACCAGUUGAGUGGAGCAGGAGAUGCUGUGGGCUGCAGCAGCUGGUCAUGGGGAGAAACAAGCUGACUUGUGGUGAGGACAUUUAGAUAGCCUCAUGGAAAGUCCCACCUGGGAAGGAAGAGAAACCUCCAACACCCAUGUAAAUGAGCCAUUCUGCAAGCACAUCCCCAAGACCCAAUCAAGCCUUCAGAUGACUACAGCCCAGCUACAGCUUGACUUCAACUUUAUGAGAGACUCUCAGUUACCAAGAGAAUUCUCCUGGGAAGGAUGAUGUCAUGUCAGCUCAAGAAACAAGAGCAUGUUGGAAGCAGCACUGGGAAAUUGAUCAAGACUAUAUUCUCUUCUAUUGCAAGGGAUUGAGCAAGUAUUUUGAAACAACAACAACCAACCAAACAAGAAGAAAACCUCACCUAAAAGUGUUCCAUUGGUUGGUUUCAUGGCUACAAUGAAAUGAGGAAUUUUGCUCUGCCGAGUCCUGCCAUCAUGAUGUCUCUGCUUUGGAGGCAGUUGAACAUGGACUGACACCUCUCAAAGCGUGAGCCAAAAUAAACCUCUCCUCCUUUACAUUACUGGUGCUGGUCAUUUUGUCCCAGCAACUGGAAAGCUGACUAAUACCCAGUCCUCAUGAGAUUAUGUCUGCUGACAUUGCACAGUGAACAGGGUGGCCACAUUGAUGUGUUGUUUUGCAAAAGAAGACAGCAGAGAGCUCACAGAUGGUGAGCCAGGUGCAGUCUAUUUUUUUGUAGGAACAGAGGGAGCAGGUUGGGGGUCUAAAGCAAGAAC
rnacentral:lncRNA from 1 species